UCCUAUGGAUGAGCAAAGACAGUGGUUUCUUGAGACAGAAUCUACUCCUGGUGAAAAUCCUAUGAA
rnacentral:pre_miRNA from 1 species